UACGUAGGAUCCUAGCGUUGUCCGGAUUUACUGGGUGUAAAGGGUGCGCAGGCGGACUUAUAAGUCAGUGGUGAAAUCUCGGCGCUUAACGCCGAAACUGCCUUUGAUACUAUAAGUCUUGAGUUUGGUAGAGAUCCGUGGAAUUCCGAGUGUAGCAGUGAAAUGUGUAGAUAUUCGGAAGAACACCAGUGGCGAAGGCGACUACCUGGCCUGUUCUUGACGCUGAGGCGCGAAAGCUAGGGGAGCAAACGGG
rnacentral:rRNA from 1 species